ensembl:lncRNA
CAGAGCGCUGCCCUUGUGACAUCGCACAGAAAGGCUGGUGGAGACCCAAAAACCCUAGGGGUGACGGCACCGGGAGGGGACACACUGCUCUCAGAGCCGCCCCAGCGGGCUGUCCAGUCAGCUUGCCGAAGCCGGAGGGAGCACAGCCUGGCUGCUGAAGCCCUCACCAGACCCUCAUGAGGAGACUAGCGUCCCACCUCAAGCAAGGCCUCUACCCAGAGACACCACCGUUGUCCCAGGCCCUGAGGUGCCUGCUGGGAGUGGCGAGCAGUUGCAACCUUUGCUGGAGACGCCUCCCAAGGCUGAUCUAGGUUCAGCUUCUCACGCGAGGACAUCCCUCGUCGGUUCUGUGUGUCCUCUCUGUGUGCUUCUGACGUGGACUCGGUGCUGUAGGCUCCCCGCCCCAGCUAACCAGCCACCAGUCGGGUGUGAAGCUGCACUGAAGGAAGCACAGGCCUGGGAGUGCUGAGCUGCUGCUCCAGCUGAGUCGGGCCUUUGUCCAGGAGGAGCUGGUUGCCAGUGCCUGCGGACAGGAAAUCCCCUGCAGCCACAAGGAAGGGGUUAAAGAGGCUACAGCAGGGAGAGGGAAACCUUGCAAAGACAGCACAGAGCCCCAUCCUCCUAUAACCCAGAGAGGGCUGCAGGGCUUGCAGCCUGGCCCACAUUCUGGAUGAACCCCAGCCCUGCUUGGCUUCCUUGGAGAGGAGCCUGAGACAAGAUCACUUCCGGGAGGAAGGACACCUGGCCUGCCUUGGCCUCCUUCCAUGUGGAGGGAGUGUCUGAAAGGCCAGGUCCUAGAGCAAGGACCCCAGCCGUCCAGUGGCCUCCUCUCCUACGGAAGGAGCGCGACACGCGUGGACCUCCAUCACUGCAUCACAAAGCCAAAGUGAUGCCAUUCAGUGGGAAUACUUUAUAGUCUACUUCCUGCUAAUGGCAAACUGAAACAAUCUCUCUCACCUGUGUCAUUUUUGUGUUCCUG